CAACCCUCAGAACCCCUUUGGGGGAUCUGGCGUUGGGGAUCGGCAGUCCUGCCGGCCCCGAAAUAUAGUGGCGGUCUCUCUGUGACCUUCCCUGUGUAGUAGCGAUACCUCGCAGCGGGAUAGCAGUCUGGCCACGCCGUAAAACACCCAACUUCUCAAGG
rnacentral:misc_RNA from 1 species